UGGCUACACUCUCCGUCGCAACCUCACCUACACAAUUUGUGCCAUAUUCAAGCCCGCAUCACUACCAUCUGCAUUGGCGGAGGUGUGGGUAAAGUAGCAGAGAGGAGCACGAUGUUGACAUGGUGGGUAGCGGCAGAGGAGAAGGGAGAGAAAGCAAGAGAACAAAAAAAGAAAAAGAGAAAGGGACGACAGAAGAGAAACGAGAGAGAGAUAUAAAGGUAUUUUGGUCAGUUUACUGAAAAUUCAAAUUUGAUAUGCAAAAUUCAAAAAUGU
rnacentral:lncRNA from 1 species